AUGAGCGGUACACACAGGCACAACAAUCUCACGGUUUCUCUUUUCACGCACAGCACACAAAUAAGAUCCAUCUCAAUUUCUCUCUUUGCACAGAAGCACAAACCAAAUCACGCACACACCGCAAGCACACUCAAGCAUGGAAAGCACACACCCACAGAAGAGAUCCAUCUCAAUUACUCUCUUUGCACACAACGCGCAUCAUGUGGGAAGUUGGUCAAACACUCACUCGGGCAGGGAACCACGCCCGGGGGAAGCUGGUCGGGCAAUGCGGGCGCGCAGGACGUGGUGGUCCAGCUGGCAGCGGGAGAAGGCCAGCGACGGACCUCCGGAGCCGCAACUUGCCCUGCACAACGCCGCCUCGCCCGUCCUUUACUGCUUGGCGCCCUCUGCCCUCCACCCGCGCCAUCCAUAGCAGCUUCCUCCGUGCCCUUCUCCAUGCAUCGCGCGCCGCGGUAG
rnacentral:rRNA from 1 species